UAUUCUACUCAACUUCAGAAUAUGUAUUAUUACUCCAGCAGCAAACAACCUGUCAUCUUGAACUGGUGACAUGUAAAGCAAGACCAACAGUCCUAGAGCAAAGCACAGCCGAAGUAUCUCUAGAUAAGAGUUGUUCUCUUCUGUGCUCACUGAGAAGAAGUCGUUCAUGCGGCUCUUGAUGUGGGUAGAUGCUGACGACAAGCACUGCGAACAAAAUUUGUGGUAAAUCACUGAAAACAUUUCAUCAACAAUUUGCCAGGGCCGUAUGUGCUUCGGGUUCAGCAAAUGGAGACGUGUAGUGGUUUGAAUUGAACCGUCCACGAUCAUCUUCUCCCACUCUAGCAGUCUCCCCAGACGAAUCAAUCUGGGUUUGAUUGAUGGAAUUCUGAUGAUGGCUUGG
rnacentral:misc_RNA from 1 species